rnacentral:rRNA from 1 species
UACAGAGGGUGCGAGCGUUAAUCGGAAUUACUGGGCGUAAAGCGUGCGUAGGCGGCUAUCUAAGUCGGGUGUGAAAGCCCCGGGCUCAACCUGGGAACUGCAUUCGAUACUGGACGGCUAGAGUAUGAGAGAGGGAGGUAGAAUUCCACGUGUAGCGGUGAAAUGCGUAGAUAUGUGGAGGAAUACCGGUGGCGAAGGCGGCCUCCUGGUUCAAUACUGACGCUGAGGUGCGAAAGCGUGGGGAGCAAACAGG